UGCAUAUCAAUAAGCGGAGGAAAAGAAACCAACAGGGAUUGCCUUAGUAACGGCGAGUGAAGCGGCAAAAGCUCAAAUUUGAAAUCUAACGCCUCUGGUGUUCGAGUUGUAAUUUGGAGAGGCAUCUUCCGGAGGGGCCCAGCCUAUGUGCCUUGGAACAGGACGUCAUAGAGGGUGAGAAUCCCGUUCUUGGCUGGAUGUUCCCUCCUUUAUGUAGUGUCUUCUACGAGUCGAGUUGUUUGGGAAUGCAGCUCAAAAUGGGUGGUAAAUUUCAUCUAAAGCUAAAUACUGGCGAGAGACCGAUAGCGCACAAGUAGAGUGAUCGAAAGAUGAAAAGCACUUUGAAAAUAGAGUCAAAAAGUACGUGAAAUUGUUGAAAGGGAAGCGCUUGAGACCAGAGUCAGCCUUUGGCAAACAAUUGUCCUUUGGGGCGGUGCACUUGUCAUUGGUUGGGCCAGCAUCGAUUGGGACGGUGGGAUAAAGGCUUGGGAAAUGUGACUCCAUUACGGAGUGUUAUAGUCUCAGGUGUCAUGCCAUCAGUCCCGAUCGUGGACCGCGCUUUGGCUCGGA
rnacentral:rRNA from 1 species